rnacentral:rRNA from 1 species
AUGAAUUGCCUAAGUUGGAGCUGCCGGGGAGGGGGGAAUUCUCGGACAGUUUGAGAAAUUGUGAUGUUGUCUCAGUCGCAUUCCCCCAUGAUUGUUUUUCUUUGUGAAACAAGACAGAAGGAAAGCAAGAUGAAGAGAAUUCGUGGUCGACUUGGUCUGAAGGGGUUUGUAGGGGUGGAUAGUAACGGAUUGAGCGGAGGCCUUGCAUUGUUUUGGUAUGAAUCU